rnacentral:lncRNA from 1 species
UGGUUAUAAGAAAUAGGCAGAGUCUGGUCAUAUGGGGCUAAAUGAUAUAAACCAAGGUCAUUGCACUGAAUUCAGUGGAAAGAUGGCAAUCUUGUGCCACAGCUUUCCUGUAGUCCUUCUGCUUUGUUAUUAAAAGGGUGGCUGCUGGUGGCUCUGGAAAAGAUCACAGUCCUCAGCCCUACAGGAAUGACAGUGGAGAGAUAAGGGGCAGGCACACUUCUCCUCAACCCCUGGGUGCUACCUGGCAGUGUCUGGGGAGAUCUGCACAGCUGAUAAACAUCCCUCUGUGUGCUGCCAAAACUCCCUAUUUGUGGUGCAUCCCAUCAAAUGCGUAUUCACGGGGAAGCUCAGAAAAAUGGCUCCUGUGAAUGGCAGGCUGGCCUCUGGGGAGGUAAAUGGGAAGUUCCAGGGAAGCCAAAAAGCGCAGGUGGGGAGUGGGACCAAGCUGGGAUGGAUGACUCCCUUUCCUACAGAUCCCAACCACACAACCUCAUGGUUUGCUUGCAAGCAAGCGGGAUACUCUCCCUUUCCACACUCAGCAGUAAUGCAUGCAAAUCCCUCAUCAGAGAGGCCACCACUGUGUUAAACUAGAGCAAUUUAGAUGAGGACUAUAUGAGUAUUCUGAAUGCUGUACUUUGUCUCUGCCUUUCUGUUUUGUCAAGGAUUGCACAAAUUUGCAAGCUUUCGUAUUUAAGUAAAUUAUAUAUAUGCUUCUAUUCUCCCGAAUGGCAAAUCCAGUCCUAUGUACCAAGAAAGCAGACGGCAGUGUUUUGUUUUUAGCUAGUUAAGCAGUCUGAAGUGAUCCAAGAAGGAGAACUCAAGGAAAAUAGAACAUUAUUUCACACCCCAAGCAGUGUGCUUAGUUACAAGACUCUCGCCAAAUACAAACGUAGUAUCUCUGCUAAAAUUAGGAUAUUAGUUCUAAUUACUGGGCACACAAAAGUCUCAAAAUUCUGGAGCUGAACUGAUAGUGUUGCUAUGGAAAUAAGCUUAACUACUACAGACCAGCUAACAAACUUAAUGUUGCUAUCUUUACAAGCUACCUCUGCUCCCAAAAGUUUCUGUUCUUUUCCUCCCUCAAAUGGGACUAAAUAUCUCUAUUGUUAACAGAAAUUAAAUUCAGAUGUACCAAAGUCCACGGCUACUCUAUGAACAGCUUGACAGAGGAUAAUGCAAGGGAAACACAAGGAGCGGUGCUUCAGUGUAACCAUUGCAAACAAUUAAAACCACAUUUUUAUCAAUAUACUAUUUCAAACACACAAGGCAGUGCAACUUGCCAUGUUCUUCCCACACUUCUUCUCCACCUCACAUAGGAGGAAAAUUUAUGAGGAAAGCCAUGCAGCAGAGGCUUUUCCUUCCCUCCCCAGACUUCGGUUACUGAUUGCUUUCCACGAAUAUAUGUAAGUGUGCAUAUAAGUACAUAUAUGUGCAUAUGAAUAUAUGCAUAUAUGCACACACAAAUGAAUAUAUGUACACAAGAAAAGGAUCAUUCAUGAGGAGACUUUCAUGUUUUGCUUUCCCACAGUGGGAACCC